rnacentral:rRNA from 1 species
AAUGAACGUUGGCGGCGUGGAUUAGGCAUGCAAGUCGAGCGAGAACCCCGCAAGGGGGGACAGCGGCAAACGGGGUAGUAACGGGUAGGCGACGUACCCUCGGGAUGGGGAUAGCCACGGGAAACUGUGGGUAAUACCCAAUAAUCACCUUGGUUAUCAGAAUUGAGGUGCAAAGGUGUGAUUCCACCUGAGGAGCGGCCUGCUUCGUAUUAGCUAGUUGGUGAGGUAACGGCUCACCAAGGCAACGAUGCGUAGGGGGUGUGAGAGCAUGACCCCCACCACUGGGACUGAGAUACUGCCCAGACACCUACGGGUGGCUGCAGUCGAGAAUCUUCGGCAAUGGGGGAAACCCUGACCGAGCGACGCCGCGUGUGGGAUGAAGGCCCUUGGGUUGUAAACCACUGUCAGAGGGGAUGAAGUGCGGGAGAGUUAUCUCUUUCGUUUGACAUAGCCUCAGAGGAAGCACGGGCUAAGUUCGUGCCAGCAGCCGCCGUAACAC